AUGAACGCUGGCGGCGUGCCUAAUACAUGCAAGUCGAGCGAACGGACGAGAAGCUUGCUUCUCUGAUGUUAGCGGCGGACGGGUGAGUAACACGUGGAUAACCUACCUAUAAGACUGGGAUAACUUCGGGAAACCGUAGCUAAUACCGGAUAAUAUUUUGAACCGCAUGGUUCAAAAGUGAAAGACGGUCUUGCUGUCACUUAUAGAUGGAUCCGCGCUGCAUUAGCUAGUUGGUAAGGUAACGGCUUACCAAGGCAACGAUGCAUAGCCGACCUGAGAGGGUGAUCGGCCACACUGGAACUGAGACACGGUCCAGACUCCUACGAGAGGCAGCAGUAGGGAAUCUUCCGCAAUGGGCGAAAGCCUGACGGAGCAACGCCGCGUGAGUGAUGAAGGUCUUCGGAUCGUAAAACUCUGUUAUUAGGGAAGAACAUAUGUGUAAGUAACUGUGCACAUCUUGACGGUACCUAAUCAGAAAGCCACGGCUAACUACGUG
rnacentral:rRNA from 1 species